CUGGCGUGUCACCCAAAUUAUGCCACAGGUAUUUCCUAAAAAUAUCUGCCACAGAAUUCUGCCUCACUAUCAAUUUUACAGUUUUUCUGCCGCAAGAUUUUGCCGCAUCAGCAGUUUUUGACCAUUGCCUCCAACUUUCCACUGUGGGCGCAGACUACUAGACUAUUUUAUCUUUACAAGUUUAGUCUAUUAAAGUGUCUAACCCACCUUAUUACGCUCUUUUUACACUUCAUAAAAAAAGGGAACAAUGGUCAAACGAAGAAAAUGUGUUGAGAAGAAUUUUAGAACUGAAUAAGUUAGUUUUGUUGGUAUGAUUUUCUUGAAAACGAAAACUUGAGCGGCCAUGUUGUUCGAGCCAGAACAAGCUUGGUUACAUGAAGUAAUUUCUUUGCGAGAAAGAACAGACAGACAUCCAGUGCUAAUAUACAGCUCACUGGCUGAGACAACUUCGGAUUUUCCCGAUGUUCGCCCGAGGAUCAUAUUUCUAUAAAUUAUGAAAUA